GCCGGGUGUGGUGGCUCACACCUGUAAUCCCAGCACUUUGGGAGGCCGAGGUGGGCGGAUCAUCUGAGGUCAGGAGUUCGAGACCAGCCUGACCAACAUGGAGAAACCCCGUCUCUA
ensembl:misc_RNA Metazoa_SRP Metazoan signal recognition particle RNA